UUGAACGCUGGCGGAAUGCUUUACACAUGCAAGUCGAGCGGCAGCGCGGGGCAACCUGGCGGCGAGCGGCGAACGGGUGAGUAAUAUAUCGGAACGUACCCUGUCGUGGGGGAUAACUAAUCGAAAGGUUAGCUAAUACCGCAUACGACCUGAGGGAGAAAGCGGGGGCUCGCAAGACCUCGCGCGAUUGGAGUGGCCGAUAUCUGAUUAGCUAGAUGGUGAGGUAAAGGCUCACCAUGGCGACGAUCAGUAGCUGGGCUGAGAGGAUGAGCAGCCACACUGGGACUGAGACACGGCCCAGACGCCUACGGGAGGCAGCAGUGGGGAAUUUUGGACAAUGGGCGAAAGCCUGAUCCAGCCAUGCCGCGUGAGUGAAGAAGGCCUGCGGGUUGUAAAGCGCUGUCGGCAGGAACGAAACGGUGGGGUCUAAUACGACUGACGAAUGACGGUACCUGAAGAAGAAGCACCGGCUAACUACGU
rnacentral:rRNA from 1 species